rnacentral:rRNA from 1 species
GAUUACUUGCCAAGCGCCUAAAACCCAAAGGACUUGACGGUACCCUACAUCCAUCUAGAGGAGCCUGUCCUAUAAUCGAUAACCCACGUUCAACCUCACCACUUCUAGUUUCUCAGCCUGUAUACCUCCGUCGCCAGCUUACCUCGUGAGCGCCUCAUAGUGAGCAUAAUGUCUUCCAACAACACGUCAGGUCAAGGUGCAGCUAAUGAAGCGGGAAAAGAUGGGCUACACUUUCUAUCUUAGAACACACGGAAAACUACUAUGAAAUCUAGUUUGAAGGCGGAUUUAGCAGUAAAAAGAGACCAUUACACUCAUUUUAAAUUGGCACUAGGGUGUGUACACACCGCCCGUCACCCUCUUCAAACAAUUUAUU